rnacentral:tRNA from 1 species
GGUGGCUCAGUGGUAGAGUGCUUGCCUCGCAUACAUGAGGUCCUGGGUUCAAUUCCUCAGCACCA